rnacentral:rRNA from 1 species
GAUGAACGCUGGCGGCGUGCCUAAUACAUGCAAGUCGAGCGAACGGACGAGAAGCUUGCUUCUCUGAUGUUAGCGGCGGACGGGUGAGUAACACGUGGAUAACCUACCUAUAAGACUGGGAUAACUUCGGGAAACCGGAGCUAAUACCGGAUAAUAUUUUGAACCGCAUGGUUCAAAAGUGAAAGACGGUCUUGCUGUCACUUAUAGAUGGAUCCGCGCUGCAUUAGCUAGUUGGUAAGGUAACGGCUUACCAAGGCAACGAUGCAUAGCCGACCUGAGAGGGGGAUCGGCCACACUGGAACUGAGACACGGUCCAGACUCCUACGGGAGGCAGCAGUAGGGAAUCUUCCGCAAUGGGCGAAAGCCUUACGGAGCAACGCCGCGUGAGUGAUGAAGGUCUUCGGAUCGUAAAACUCUGUUAUUAGGGAAGAACAUAUGUGUAAGUAACUGUGCACAUCUUGACGGUACCUAAUCAGAAAGCCACGGCUAACUACGUG